CUCAAAUUUUAUUCGAGGUGAACUCUCCCAAAUUCGAGGUGAACUCUCACAAAUUCUCUAUCGGUGAAUGCAUGUGAGUGGAGAAAAAAAAGCAAAAUGGGGGAUUGGGCUAAAAAGAAACUUAUGGAAUUUUUGUGACCUGUCAAAAAUGACAAUCAAUUUUGCAAAACAAAACAAUGGGUUUCGGAUUUUUAGAACCAAAAUUCUUUAUAAUGAAGAGGGUAUAUACAAGUUCACUUCAUUGAAUAAAAAUUAAGUCAAAUUGCAGUGAAGGAGGUGCAACAAUAAUGGAUUUAUUUUAUAUUCUUUCUUUUCAUUUUAGAUAGUGCCAAAAUGCAGGAAGCAAUUUCCUUUAAGUAAUUUGGAAAGCAAACCAAACAAGGCGCUGAUUUGCAGAUACUGCCCAUUGUUUUUGUAUGUACUUCUCAACUGCAAUAGCUGCCGCAGGUGUUGACGGCGGAGGUGUCACCAUCAAAACCAUUAGAAACAACACGACCAAGUCAAUGAUGCAAGUGGAAGUUUUGCCAUGUAAUAGUCGACCGCUGACGCCCUUCUCCAUCAAUUGUGUAAGUACGUAUCGAAACAUUCAUAUCGUAGUCAACUAGCUUAAUCUUCAUCUUCUAGGUGUAAAGAGUACUACCAGUCUGCAGUUCUGCAAGAGACGCAAACAAAACAAGAAUACAAUCGCAGGAAGACUCCAAAAAAUGUCCAACCCUGACUGUAAGUGAGUUCAAAUUUUAAAUCUACAACGAAUCCAUUCUUUUUGCUCCUAAGGAUCGCACUGGCUUAACGGUGUCAAUCAUUCGGAGGCAAAUGAGCUGGCCCGACAAGAAUCCCCCAAGAAGCCAAACAGAUUCAGAUCAGUCUUUCGGCAGCUACUGACAAUGUCGGCAAUUAAAUCCAUCGAUUUUCACACAGAAAAUCAACAUCAAAAAAAGUAAGUCAACUUCCAUUUCAGAUUUCCUUAUAUAAUGAAAAUUAAUUUCUUUAUAGUCACGACAAUUUAGCAGCGUCAUGGUCAACCUGCCGAUCAACCAUUCACAGUGAACAACCUCUAUUUGUAGCAGAAGCGAUCUCUGCGUUGUCGACAAUGUGAACACAAUGUCAUCAAGCCGGAGUACCAUCCAGGAUCGAUCAAGUAUCGCAUUCAAUUGUUUGCUAACUACCAUGUGCCAGACGUUCUGCUUGUGCGUUGUGAAAAGCCACUGAAGCCUGGCACGUCCACUGAAUUGAUCCUCAAGCUAACUAACCCAACGAUGUACCAUAUGACCACAACCAUUAUGAAACUGCUAACCAAGGAAGAAGAACGGCGAAUGAUCGACUUCGAAUAAAAGUUCAACG